GGCGGACGGGAUGAGUAACGCGUAGGAAUCUACCUAUUAGUGGGGGAUAGCCCAGGGAAACUUGGAUUAAUACCGCAUACGCCCUACGGGGGAAAGCGGGGGAUCUUCGGACCUCGCGCUAAUAGAUGAGCCUGCGUAAGAUUAGCUAGUUGGUGAGGUAAAGGCUCACCAAGGCGACGAUCUUUAGCUGUUCUGAGAGGAUGAUCAGCCACACUGGGACUGAGACACGGCCCAGACUCCUACGGGAGGCAGCAGUGGGGAAUAUUGGACAAUGGGGGCAACCCUGAUCCAGCCAUGCCGCGUGUGUGAAGAAGGCCUUAGGGUUGUAAAGCACUUUCAGAUGUGAGGAAAGGUGUGUGCUUAAUACGUACAUACUGUGACGUUAGCAUCAGAAGAAGGACCGGCUAACUCCGUGCCAGCAGCCGCGGUAAUACGGAUGGUGCGAGCGUUAAUCGGAAUUACUGGGCGUAAAGCGCGC
rnacentral:rRNA from 1 species